CAACCAGUAGUUUAGGUUUAUAGAAUGCAAGUUUUGGGGAUUUGAGGUCUUAAGUUAAGUUGGUUGA
rnacentral:tRNA from 1 species